rnacentral:tRNA from 1 species
UGGGGCAUAGCCAAGCGGUAAGGCAUCAGACUUUGACUCUGACAUUCCGAGGUGCGAUUCCACGUGCCCCAGCCA